AUUGAACGCUGGCGGCAUGCCUUACACAUGCAAGUCGAACGGCAGCACGGGAGCAAUCAUGGUGGCGAGUGGCGAACGGGUGAGUAAAGUAUCGGAACGUGCCCAGUCGUGGGGGAUAACGUAGCGAAAGUUACGCUAAUACCGCAUACGAUCAAUGGAUGAAAGGGGGGGAUUGCAAGACCUCGCUCGAUUGGAGCGGCCGAUAUCAGAUUAGGUAGUUGGUGGGGUAAAGGCUCACCAAGCCGACGAUCUGUAGCUGGUCUGAGAGGACGACCAGCCACACUGGGACUGAGACACGGACCAGACUCCUACGGGAGGCAGCAGUGGGGAAUUUUGGACAAUGGGCGAAAGCCUGAUCCAGCCAUGCCACGUGCAGGAUGAAGGCCUUCGGGUUGUAAACUGCUUUUGUACGGAACGAAAAGGUUUGGCCUAAUAAGCUGAGCUCAUGACGGUAUCGUAAGAAUAAGCACCGGCUAACUACGUGCCAGCAGCCGCGGUAA
rnacentral:rRNA from 1 species